UACGGGGGGGGCAAGCGUUGUUCGGAAUUACUGGGCGUAAAGGGCUCGUAGGCGGCCAACUAAGUCAGACGUGAAAUCCCUCGGCUUAACCGGGGAACUGCGUCUGAUACUGGAUGGCUUGAAUCCGGGAGAGGGAUGCGGAAUUCCAGGUGUAGCGGUGAAAUGCGUAGAUAUCUGGAGGAACACCAAUUGCGAAGGCAGCUCGCUGGGACGUGACUGACGCUGAGACGCGAAAGCGUGGGGAGCAAACAGG
rnacentral:rRNA from 1 species